GCCCGAAACCGGGUGACCUACCCAUGGUCAGGUUGAAGUGGAAGUAAAAUUCCAUGGAGGACCGAACCGACCUCCGUUGAAAAGGCGGCGGAUGAACUGUGGGUAGCGGAGAAAUUCCAAUCGAACCCGGAGAUAGCUGGUUCUCCCCGAAAUAGUUUUAGGACUAGCCUCAAGUUAGAUACCUGGAGGUAAAGCACUGAAUAGCCUAGCGGCCGAGAGGUUAGCGAAGCUUAUCAAACUCAGAAUGCCAGAGUAUUGAUGCUUGGGAGUCAGACAGUGUCAGAUAAAUGUCAUUGUCAAAAGGGAAACAGCCCAGAUCUACAGCUAAGGUCCCAAAGUCAGGUUAAGUGGAAAACGAUGUGAAGAUACGCAGACAACCAGGAUGUUGGCUCAGAAGCAGCCACUCAUUCAAAGAGUGCGUAAUAGCUCACUGGUCGAGCGUCUUUGCGCGGAGAAUUUAACGGGGCUAAACCUGACACCGAAGCUUAGGCAAUCCAGCAAUGGAUUGGGUAGGGGAGCGUUGUAUACGCGGAGAAACAGUAGCGUAAGCGGCUGUGGAGUGUAUAGAAGUGAGAAUGCCGGAAUGAGUAGCGCGAAUGCAGUGAGAAUCUGCAUGGCCGAAAGCCUCAGGUUUUUGGAGGAAGGUUCGUCCGCUCCAAGUUAGUCGGGAGCUAAGGUGAGGCCGGAAGGCGUAGCCGAUGCACAGACGGUAGAGAUUCCGUCACCACCAAAAGAGUUAAGCACAGGGACACAUUUGAAGUCUCAGAGCCGGGUGUUGGUUCCGGUAGAGAUCGAGGGAAGUUAGUACCGAAGUCUGGGAUGAAGGAUGGCGAGAAAAGCUGUGUGUAUUUCUGAGGUGCCCGUACCGCAAACCGACACAGGUAGGUAGGAAGAAGAUUCUAAGGCCAACGGGAGAAGGGUUGUUAAGGAACUCGGCAAAUUGACCCCGUAACUUCGGGAGAAGGGGUGCUCCAGAGAUGGAGCCGCAGAGAAUCGGCCCAAGCAACUGUUUACCAAAAACACAGGUUUGUGCUAAAUCGAAAGAUGACGUAUACGAGCUGACGCCUGCCCGGUGCUGGAAGGUUAAGAGGAGAUGUGCAAGCAUUGAAUCGAAGCCCCAGUGAACGGCGGCCGUAACUAUAACGGUCCUAAGGUAGCGAAAUUCCUUGUCAGGUAAGUUCUGACCCGCAUGAAAGGCGUAAUGAUUUGGGCACUGUCUCAACAGCCCGCCCGGCGAAAUUGUAGUACCGGUGAAGAUGCCGGUUACCCGCGACAAGACGGAAAGACCCCAUGGAGCUUUACUGUAGCCUAAUAUUGGGUUUCGAUGUUGCAUGCACAGGAUAGAUGGGACACAGGGAAACAAUCGCUUUGGCGGUUGCGGAGUGGCCGUUGGGAUACCAUCCUUGCGAUAUUGGAAUUCUAACCUGCGGCUCUGAAUCGAGUCGGGGGACAUUGUUAGGUGGGCAGUUUGACUGGGGCGGUCGCCUCCUAAAAAGUAACGGAGGCGUUCAAAGGUUCGCUCAGCUUGAACGGAAAUCAAGCAAAAGAGUGCAAACGCAGAAGCGAGCCUAACUGCGAGACUGACGGGUCGAGCAGUAACGAAAGUUGGAGUUAGUGAUCCGGUGGUAUGUGAGUGGAAAUGCCAUCGCUCAACGGAUAAAAGUUACCCUGGGGAUAACAGGCUGAUCUCCCCCAAGAGUCCACAUCGACGGGGAGGUUUGGCACCUCGAUGUCGGCUCAUCGCAUCCUGGGGCUGUAUUCGGUCCCAAGGGUUUGGCUGUUCGCCAAUUAAAGCGGUACGCGAGCUGGGUUCAGAACGUCGUGAGACAGUUCGGUCCCUAUCUGUCGUGGGCGCAGGAUAUUUGAUGGGAGCUGUCCCUAGUACGAGAGGACCGGGACGGACGUACCUCUGGCGCACCAGUUGUUCCGCCAGGAGCAUAGCUGGGCAACUACGUACGGAUCGGAUAAACGCUGAAAGCAUCUAAGCGUGAAGCCGACCCAAAGAUAAGAUAUCCCACUGAUUUGAUCAGGUAAGACCCCUUGAAGACUACAAGGUUGAUAGGCACGAUGUGUAAGUGGAGUGAUCCAUUCAGCAAGCGUGUACUAAUAGGUCGAGGGCUUGACCAC
rnacentral:rRNA from 1 species